UACGUAGGGGCCUAGCGUUGUCCGGAAUUAUUGGGCGUAAAGAGCUCGUAGGCGGUUUGGCAAGUCGGGUGUGAAAACUCCGGCUCAACUCGGAGACGCCACUCGAUACUGCCAUGACUCGAGUCCGGUAGGGGAGUGCGGAAUUCCUGGUGUAGCGGUGAAAUGCGCAGAUAUCAGGAGGAACACCGGUGGCGAAGGCGGGUCUCUGGGCCGUAACUGACGCUGAGGAGCGAAAGCAUGGGGAGCGAACAGG
rnacentral:rRNA from 1 species